GUGUUUGUUACCUCCCCUGCGCUGGAACCGUCACGGCCGCAGGUCGCCCAGCAGAGAAAACGGAGAUAACAUGCGGCCGCCCAAAGCGGGACCUCAAGAUCUCAACUGCUUCUUGACCUUCUGUGCUACGUAGAUACCGUCAGAAACACCCAUACUUACACUGUUUCAUCUGCCAACUCCAACUCUACUGGGGGCUACAUGGAGAAGGAAGCAGGCUUUAGCCUCCCAUGAUGGACUUCAUCUCCCAGUUCCCUUCUGAGGCCCUGGGAACUUGCAUGGCACCAGUAAGGUACUGUGGUUACUCUUCAACUCUCUAAUUUGGUGAGUAAGGAAAAUUCAUGCUGCUGGGCAGAAAGCACAUCUUCCGAACAUUUGCAAUCCACUGUCUGCUAUUGGAAAUCCACUUCUAUGGGUCAGCCACCUAUUUAACAACAAAUACAAGAUUUCAGUUGUUCAGCACACAGAGAAUCACAGAAGGCAUGGAGAACUUCCUUAUAUGCCACUGGGGCCUUUUAGAUACAGGUACCUAAAAAUUUCGAUACCACAUUGUCUGCAGCUUUUGCAAAUCCAUCCUCACCCGGUGUUCUUACUGACUCUUUGUCUAAUCCAUUGUCUCACUAUUUUCUUUUCUAUGUGAUAAUUUGGGUACAGUAGGGAUCCUGUCUCAUAUUCAGUGUAGAACAAGCAAAACCCAUCCAAUCAUGGUUCUGCAAUCCUAGAGCCUUCUUUACAGUGUAAGUUUUUUGUUGGGCUUUCCUUAUUAUUACUGUUCUUUUUAACAUAAUAUUUUGUAAGGUUUAACAACAUGUUUGGUCUUGCAAAAGAUGACUGCAGCUGAUGUUAUGUGGACAAUUAAAAGGAUUUAAUUCCUGUGCAGAUCACCUUCAUGUGUGUUGUAGAGCUCUAACUGGUCUCUUCUCAUUUUAUCUCUAGGCUACUACCCAGAUGGAUUAUUAGGUCUGAACUAAAGAUCACAUCUUCCCUUAAUAAAUUCUCUUGAACCACUA